rnacentral:rRNA from 1 species
AUUGAACGCUGGCGGCAUGCCUUACACAUGCAAGUCGAACGGCAGCACGGGAGCAAUCCUGGUGGCGAGUGGCGAACGGGUGAGUAAUAUAUCGGAACGUGCCCAGUCGUGGGGGAUAACGCAGCGAAAGCUGUGCUAAUACCGCAUACGAUCUACGGAUGAAAGCGGGGGACCGUAAGGCCUCGCGCGAUUGGAGCGGCCGAUAUCAGAUUAGGUAGUUGGUGGGGUAAAGGCCUACCAAGCCGACGAUCUGUAGCUGGUCUGAGAGGACGACCAGCCACACUGGGACUGAGACACGGCCCAGACUCCUACGGGAGGCAGCAGUGGGGAAUUUUGGACAAUGGGCGCAAGCCUGAUCCAGCAAUGCCGCGUGCAGGAUGAAGGCCUUCGGGUUGUAAACUGCUUUUGUACGGAGCGAAAAGGCUCUCUCUAAUACAGGGGGCUCAUGACGGUACCGUAAGAAUAAGCACCGGCUAACUACGUGCCAGCCGCCGCGGUAACAC